UCGCUGGAGAUAGAGACUCUGGGGCUGUAUUUUCACCCAAGCUCCCGGGGGAUUCUGGUCCAGGGGCUUACUCUGAAGAACGUUGCCUUCAGGGCUCCUGACCCUGAGGGUUCUAUCCUAACUCCUUACUUCAAAUCUGAGGCCCCUGAUCACCAGCCCCCGGAGCAGAUUUGGCCCUUGAACAUGUUCUCUUUGGCCCACAUUACUUUUUAAAAUUGAAUCAGUUGUCAACACUUUAAAGUUGAGACAUGUUAUGUAACCAUCUAAGAGAAAUCAGAAGAUGAGGCAGCAAGAGUCACUUUCCAAUAUGUUGGGCAUCGGACAGUUGAUCAAGCUGAAAGCUCCAGGCACUUAUCAUAGCCUGCCAGCGGCUUGAGGCUGCUUCAUUUCAUAUUCAAAGUCAGGAGAAGAUGAGCAGCCCCACCUGCUCCAUGGAGAACUGUCACUGAACACCACCCACCUCGUACCUUCCCAAACCUCCAGCCCAUGUUGUACACGAGGGAACCAUGACAUGUCAGAACCGGAAGGGGCCUCAGAUGAGCAUCGUCACCUCCAGCCUCCACUUGUCCGGAGUUGGAAGCUGAGUCCAAGGAGAGAAAGGAACACAGGUGGUCAGUGGCAGAGAUGGACCCCGCAUUCCCAGCCCACAGCAUGGCCCUGCAGGCCACUUCUGGGUGUACGAUGAGGGGAUUUCAUGCUCCUCCAGGGACUUGAGCUUCCUGUCAAGGGAGGCAGAGCCUCAGCUGCCCACACCGUGAUUUCAGGUGCAGACUUAACAAGGAGAUUGGAGAAUCAGGGGAGAUGGACCCUCCCAGACCCUGGAAAGGAUGUCAGGGACACUGCCAAUACCUGGAAGCUUGGAGGAUGCAACCGGGGGCUCUGUGCCAGGCAGCCCUGGGAAGGCUGAGGGCGACAGGAGGAGGAGGCCUGCUGUGGGGUUCCAGGCCCCUCUGACCGCAGAAGCCCCAUGGUGGUACAGCUUAACCCAGGCCUGUGAGGGUUUCCCAGAGUUCCUACAGUUCUACGAAGUCAAUACUGCUGGACUCCCAUUUUACAGAUGAUGAAACUGAGGCACAGAAAGGUUAAGUAACUGGGCCAUGGUCACCUGGCAGGUGAGUGGCAGAGCCUGGACAUAAAGCCAGAGGGUGUUCCAGAACCCACACUCUCUGUGACUACACUAAUUAUAUUGCUUUUACUGUUGCC